AGUGGGACUGGCGGGCGUGAUGCGCCCGUGGGUGGAGAUGGGUGUUCAUCCGCCAUCCCUCGGAGCAUCUGGACCUGCGCGUUUCAUUGCGUGUAAAAUGGGACAGGAACACGCACCUCGGCUCAUGUGCUUGAGGAGUGUUUAGCAUCCGGUCUUGGGAUGUCGAUCCUGGCAUCUGCAACCUCGAUGAACAGCUCAAGGUCUUUGUGUCCCGACACUCUGCCACCUUCUCCAGCAUUGUGAAAGGCCAGCGGAGCCUGCAUCACCGUGGAGACAGCCUGGAGACCCUGGUCCUCCUGAACCCAUCAGACAAAUCCCUGUGUGAUGAGCUCCGGAACCUUCUGUUGGACCCUGCCUCUCACAAGCUACUGGUGUUGGCUGGGCCCUGCCUAGAGGAGACGGGGGAGCUGCUGCUACAGACAGGGGGCUUCUCACCUCACCACUUCCUCCAGGUCCUGAAGGACAGAGAGAUCCGGGACAUCCUGGCCACCACGCCCCCACCUGUGCAGCCGCCCAUACUCACCAUCACCUGCCCCGCCUUCGGUGACUGGGCUCAGCU
rnacentral:sRNA from 1 species